rnacentral:rRNA from 1 species
UACAGAGGUCUCAAGCGUUGUUCGGAUUCAUUGGGCGUAAAGGGUGCGUAGGCGGCGCGGUAAGUCGGGUGUGAAAUCUCGGAGCUUAACUCGGAAAGGUCAACUGAUACUGCGGGGCUAGAGUGCGGAAGGGGCAACUGGAAUUCUCGGUGUAGCGGUGAAAUGCGUAGAUAUCGAGAGGAACACCUGCGGCGAAGGCGGGUUGCUGGGCCGACACUGACGCUGAUGCGCGAAAGCCAGGGGAGCGAACGGG